rnacentral:rRNA from 1 species
AGCGGCAGGGUUAACACAUGCAAGUCGAGGGGCAGCAUGUCCAGCAAUGGAUGAUGGCGACCGGCGGAAGGGUGCGUAACGCGUGAGCAACAUGCCCUAUACAGGGAGAUACACCAGGGAAACUUGGUCUAAUAUCCCAUAGCAUUCAUUGAAGGCAUCUUUAAUGAAUUAAAGCUUCGGUGGUAUAGGAUUGGCUCGCGUGACAUUAGCCAGAUGGUGAGGUAACGGCUCACCAUAGCAAUGAUGUCUAGGGGUUUUGAGAGGAAGGCCCCCCACACUGGGACUGAGACACGGCCCAGACUCCUACGGGAGGCAGCAGUGAGGAAUAUUGGACAAUGGAUGGAAAUCUGAUCCAGCCAUGCCGCGUGCAGGAAGACGGCCUUAUGGGUUGUAAACUGCUUUUAUACGGGAGCAAUAAGGGUUACGAGUAAUCCGAUGAGAGUACUGUAUGAAUAAGGAUCGGCUAACUCCGUGCCAGCAGCCGCGGUAAUACGGAGGAUCCGAGCGUUAUCCGGAAUUAUUGGGUUUAAAGGGUGCGUAGGCGGCCAUUUAAGUCAGCGGUGAAAUUUUGCAGCUUAACUGUAACAGUGCCGUUGAUACUGUUUGGCUAGGAUUUGGUUGUAGUGUGCGGAAUGUGUGGUGUAGCGGUGAAAUGCUUAGAUAUCACACAGAACACCGAUUGCGAAGGCAGCACACUAAGUCAUUAUUGACGCUGAGGCACGAAAGUGUGGGGAUCAAACAGGAUUAGAUACCCUGGUAGUCCACACUGUAAACGAUGAUAACUCGCUGUCGGCGAUACACAGUCGGUGGCCAAGCGAAAGC